rnacentral:rRNA from 1 species
CCAUUGGGGUCUAUAAUGCAGUCGAGCGAAUGGAUUAAGAGCUUGCUCUUAUGAAGUUAGCGGCGGACGGGUGAGUAACACGUGGGUAACCUGCCCAUAAGACUGGGAUAACUCCGGGAAACCGGGGCUAAUACCGGAUAACAUUUUGAACCGCAUGGUUCGAAAUUGAAAGGCGGCUUCGGCUGUCACUUAUGGAUGGACCCGCGUCGCAUUAGCUAGUUGGUGAGGUAACGGCUCACCAAGGCAACGAUGCGUAGCCGACCUGAGAGGGUGAUCGGCCACACUGGGACUGAGACACGGCCCAGACUCCUACGGGAGGCAGCAGUAGGGAAUCUUCCGCAAUGGACGAAAGUCUGACGGAGCAACGCCGCGUGAGUGAUGAAGGCUUUCGGGUCGUAAAACUCUGUUGUUAGGGAAGAACAAGUGCUAGUUGAAUAAGCUGGCACCUUGACGGUACCUAACCAGAAAGCCAUGGCUAACUACGUGCCAGCAGCCGCGGUAAUACGUAGGUGGCAAGCGUUAUCCGGAAUUAUUGGGCGUAAAGCGCGCGCAGGUGGUUUCUUAAGUCUGAUGUGAAGCCCACGGCUCAACCGUGGAGGGUCAUUGGAAACUGGGAGACUUGAGUGCAGAAGAGAAAGUGGAAUUCCAUGUGUAGCGGUGAAAUGCGUAGAGGAUAUUGGAAGGAACCCCAGUGGCCGAAGCGACCGUUGUGGUCCUUGUUAAGCUGAACACCUGAGGGCGGCGAAGGCGUGUGGGGAGCCAACCAGGAUUAGAUAACCCUGGGUAAUCCACCCGCCUGAAACCGAUGGAGGUGCUCAGUGUUAACAGGCUUCCGCCCCCUCAUUAGUGGCUGAAAUUCAACCCCAUUAAGGCACCCUCCCCCUGGGUGGUAACGGCCCAUAGUGAAUCUAACGGAAUUUGAGGGGGCCCGCAAACUGCCCAGUGAUGUACAACACCUGUGUGGUAGAAUACU